UUUUAUUCCUUGAUACAGCUUGUACUUUUUCUAUCCCCCACUUAGUUAUUAUUGUGCCUCUUAUACACCGCCCAUUUUGGUUCUGUGGUUAGAGCUGUAACAUUAUUAUUGUACCUCUUACACACCGUCCAUUUUGGUUAUGUGGUUGGAGAUAUAACAGGAGAAUUUAUUUUGCUCCUAACAAAUCCAGUUAUGUUAGUACAUGGCGAUGUCCAAAUAAACAUAAAAAAAGAAAAAAAAACUAGAAAAAAUAAAAUAAAAUACUAUUAAAUAUGAAAAUAUUUAAACAUUAUUUUCUAUGAGCUUAAGUUUGUAUAGUGUCACGGUUGUUUUAUCUUCUUUAAUAUAGUAUCAAAAUAGGAUGCUUUGAGUUCAAGUCAAAUAUUUAAAUACUAUUUUUUACGAGUAUAAGCUUUCAAAGUAUAACGAUUAUUUCAUAUUUUUUAACAAAUAACCACACAAAUUUAUCACCUUUAGCUCUUUA
rnacentral:lncRNA from 1 species